AUUGAACGCUGGCGGCAGGCCUAACACAUGCAAGUCGAGCGCGCGGCGGACGGGUGAGGAAUGUAUGGGGACUGACCGAUAGAGGGGGAAAAAUAAUGGAAACGGUAGCUAAUACCGCAUACUAUCGGAUAACCCAUAUGGGAUUAGCUCGUAGGUGUGGUAAUGGAUCACCUAGGCGACGAUCCCUAGCUGGUCUGAGAGGAUGAUCAGCCACACUGGAACUGAGACACGGCCCAGACUCCGACGGAGGCAGCAGUGGGGAAUAUUGCACAAUGGGCGCAAGCCUGAUGCAGCCAUGCCGAGUGUAUGAAGAAGGCCCUAGGGUUGUAAAGUACUUUCAUUCGGGAGGCGUUACCGACAGAAGAAUCACCGGCUAACUCCGUGCCAGCCGCCGCGGUAAUAC
rnacentral:rRNA from 1 species